rnacentral:rRNA from 1 species
GAUGAACGCUGGCGGCGUGCCUAAUACAUGCAAGUCGAACGGGGAGUAGCAAUACUCUUAGUGGCGAACGGGUGAGUAACGCGUUGGUACCUGCCCCGAAGCGGGGGAUAACGGACCGAAAGGUCCGCUAAUACCCCAUGUGCUCGGUAACGAGUAAAGGUGAAAACCACUUUGGGAGGGGCCUGCGUCCCAUCAGCUAGUUGGUAAGGUAACGGCUUACCAAGGCGAUGACGGGUAGGGGACCUGAGAGGGUGGCCCCCCACAAUGGAACUGAAACACGGUCCAUACACCUACGGGUGGCAGCGGUAGGGAAUAUUGGUAAUGGGCGCAAGCCUGAACCAGCAACGCCGCGUGUGCGAUGACGGCCUUCGGGUUGUAAAGCACUUUUGACUGGGACGAGGAAGGACGGUACCGGUCGAAUCAGCCUGGGCUAACUACGUG